AUUGAACGCUGGCGGCAUGCCUUACACAUGCAAGUCGAACGGCAGCAUGGAGAGCUUGCUCUCUGAUGGCGAGUGGCGAACGGGUGAGUAAAGCAUCGGAACGUACCGUGUAGUGGGGGAUAACGUAGCGAAAGUUACGCUAAUACCGCAUACGCACUGAGGUGGAAAGCAGGGGAUCGCAAGACCUUGCGCUAUACGAGCGGCCGAUGUCAGAUUAGCUAGUUGGUAGGGUAAAGGCCUACCAAGGCGACGAUCUGUAGCGGGUCUGAGAGGAUGAUCCGCCACACUGGGACUGAGACACGGCCCAGACUCCGGCGGGAGGCAGCAGUGGGGAAUUUUGGACAAUGGGGGCAACCCUGAUCCAGCCAUGCCGCGUGAGUGAAGAAGGCCUUCGGGUUGUAAAGCUCUUUCGGCCGGGAAGAAAUCGCACAGGCUAAUACUCUGUGUGGAUGACGGUACCGGCAUAAGAAGCACCGGCUAACUACGUGCCAGCCGCCGCAGUAA
rnacentral:rRNA from 1 species